AGUGCCAAGGAAAUUGGAGACAGAGAAGGAGUUAUUUAACAGCAGUUACGAAGCUGCGGUAGGAACAGAAGAAUUGCAUAGUUCAGCAGUGUCGUCUUUUUCCCAUUUUCCUAUUGAGCCUGUUAUUUUCCUCUUUGAGUGCACCUGCGCAGCCCUGAAACCUUUCCCCCACGUAUCACUCCAGUGGCUCCUCAGAAUAAGGAGCGAGAUGAGGGGUCUAUUUUUACCAACGAGGGGGUGAGAAAGUGAGACGGAAGUAUGGUCCUGCUAGGCGCUCUGUCAGGACUGAGCCUGAGGUUCCAGCGAUGUGAUCUGUGGCUCCGCCCACCAUCGUCCUCACUCUCGGUGGUGUCUUGCCGCGCUACCCUCGGGCGCUUACGUCUCCGCGAGCUGAUUCGCUGGAGAGAACCUGGCUCCUGAAGUCUGAACCAUUCAUGUUAAAGGCAGAAGUGGAAUGCGUUUUGUUCCUGCUCCACUGCUACCUGCCUCCUGCACACCUGUGACUCAUGCCACUAAUAAAGACUCUGCAUUACA